rnacentral:rRNA from 1 species
AUUGAACGCUGGCGGCAGGCCUAACACAUGCAAGUCGAGCGGCAGCGGGAAAGUAGCUUGCUACUUUUGCCGGCGAGCGGCGGACGGGUGGGUAAUGCCUGGGAAAUUGCCCAGUCGAGGGGGAUAACAGUUGGAAACGACUGCUAAUACCGCAUACGCCCUACGGGGGAAAGCAGGGGACCUUCGGGCCUUGCGCGAUUGGAUAUGCCCAGGUGGGAUUAGCUAGUUGGUGAGGUAAUGGCUCACCAAGGUGACGAUCCCUAGCUGGUCUGAGAGGAUGAUCAGCCACACUGGAACUGAGACACGGUCCAGACUCCUACGGGAGGCAGCAGUGGGGAAUAUUGCACAAUGGGGGAAACCCUGAUGCAGCCAUGCCGCGUGUGUGAAGAAGGCCUUCGGGUUGUAAAGCACUUUCAGCGAGGAGGAAAGGUUGAUGCCUAAUACGUAUCAACUGUGACGUUACUCGCAGAAGAAGCACCGGCUAACUCCGUGCCAGCAGCCGCCGUAA